rnacentral:rRNA from 1 species
GACGAACGCUGGCGGCGUGCUUAACACAUGCAAGUCGACAUUAGUGGCGAACGGGUCAGUAAUACGUGGUUAACCUGCCCUCCUUUUUGGGGUAAGCCUUGGAAACGGAGUCUAAUACCGAAUAAAGGGGGAUGGGCUGGCGGCCGAUCAGCGUGUUGGUGGGGUUAUGGCCUAACAAGGCGGUGACGAGUAGCCGGCCUGAGAUGGCGACCGGCCACAUUGGGACUGAGAUACGGCCCAGACUCCUACGGGAGGCAGAAGUGGGGGAUAUUGCAAAAUGGGCGACAGCCUGAUGCAGCGACGCCGCGUGGGGGAUGAAGGCUUUCGGGUUGUAAACCUCUUGCGCUAUCGAAAGGGUAGGUGGAGAAGAAGCGCCGGCUAACUACGUGCCAGCAGCCGCGGUAAUAC